rnacentral:rRNA from 1 species
GAUGAACGCUGGCGGCGUGCCUAAUACAUGCAAGUCGAGCGAACGGACGAGAAGCUUGCUUCUCUGAUGUUAGCGGCGGACGGGUGAGUAACACGUGGAUAACCUACCUAUAAGACUGGGAUAACUUCGGGAAACCGGAGCUAAUACCGGAUGAUAUUUUGAACCGCAUGGUUCAACAGUGAAAGACGGUCUUGCUGUCACUUAUAGAUGGAUCCGCGCUGCAUUAGCUAGUUGGUAAGGUAACGGCUUACCAAGGCAACGAUGCGUAGCCGACCUGAGAGGGUGAUCGGCCACACUGGAACUGAGACACGGUCCAGACUCCUACGGGAGGCAGCAGUAGGGAAUCUUCCGCAAUGGGCGAAAGCCUGACGGAGCAACGCCGCGUGAGUGAUGAAGGUCUUCGGAUCGUAAAACUCUGUUAUUAGGGAAGAACAUAUGUGUAAGUAACUGUGCACAUCUUGACGGUACCUAAUCAGAAAGCCCCGGCUAACUACGUG